rnacentral:tRNA from 1 species
CGCGGGGUGGAGCAGUCUGGUAGCUCGUUGGGCUCAUAACCCAAAGGUCGGAGGUUCGAAUCCUUCCCCCGCUAC